ensembl:lncRNA
UCUCAAACUCCUGAUCUCAGGUGAUCCACCCCUCUCAGCCUCCCAAAGUGCUGGGAUUACAAAGUGCUAGAAUUAUAGGCGUGAGCCACCUUGCCACACCAUCUCCAGCCAUUUCUAAUUGUCCCCUCCAGCAUCCCCCAUGAGCUCACUCUGCAACCUGAGCUAGUUGUGUUGGCCCCGUCCUUGCAUCUGUGCUGAUUACUCCCAGGACCUUGCUACUUCCAGUUCUUAUAUGUUAAUCCUCUCUUCUCUGGCAUCUCUGAGCUCCACCAGUAGGCUUGUCUUAGGGGCCUCUGAUCAAACACAUCUCUGAACUAUACACAUUCGUGGAGCUUUGGGGUCAGGAGGCAGAUCCAGUCCCAUUUCUGGCAUUGACUGGCUGGUCCCUUGGCUUCUCUGAGCCUCUUUCUUCAUCAGUAAAAUGGUGAAAAACACAGUAUGAACCUCGCAGGGUGGAAAGCUCCAUGGGCAUGUGUAUUUAUAAAACAUAUGUGCUGGCCAACCACAGCAGCACAAGCCUGUGAUCCCAGCACUUUGGGAGGCUGAGGCAGGAGGAUUGCUUGAGCUCAGGAGAUUGAGAUCAGUCUGGACAACAAAGUGAGACUCCCCCAUCCCUAUACAAAAUAAAAACAAUAGGCUGGGCGCGGUGGCUCAUGCCUGUAGUCCUAGCACUUUGGGAAGCUGAGGCGGGCAGAUCAUGAGGUCAGGAGAUUGAGACCAUCCUGGCUAUUACGGUGAAACCCCACCUCUACUAAAAAUACAAAUAGUUAGCCAGGUGUUGGGCAUGCUCCUGUAGUCCCAGCUACUGUUGAGGCUGAGGCAGGAGAAUCGCUUGAAGCCGGGAGGCAGAGGUUGCAGUGAGCUGAGUCUCAUCACUCCAGCCUAGGUGACGGAGCAAGACUCUGUCUCAAAAUAAAUAAAUAAAUAAAAAUAAAAACAAUAAUAAAAUUAUCUGGAUGUGGUGGCACGUAUUUGUAGUCCUAACUACUCGAGAGACUGAGGCAAGAGGAUUGCUUGAGCCUCAGAAUAUGUGUCCACUGGAAGAGGUGACACAUCAGAAUGGGACCUUGGGGCUGGGCGCAGUCGCUCACACCUGUAAUCCCAGCACUUUGGGAGGCCAUGGCGGGUGGAUCACCUGAGGUCAGGAAUUCCAGACCAGCCUGACCAACAUGGUGAAAACCUGUCUCUACUAGAAAUACAAAAAUUAGCCAGGCGUGGUGGCGCAUGACUGUAAUCCCAGCUGCUGAGGGAUUGGAGGCUGAGGCGGAAAAAUCUCUUGAACCUGGGAGGCAGAGGUUGCAGUGAGCCGAGAUUGCGCCACUACGUUCCAGCCUGGAUGACAGAGAAAGACUCCAUGUCAAAAAAAAAAAAAAAAAAAAAACCAAACAAAAGAAUGGGACCUUGGAAAGCAGGGUGAGGGACUUUUGCAUUGUCAUAAUUGGUGGCGUAUAUCAAGAGAAGUAUGAAGCUCUGUUAGCAAGGGCAGUGCGAUAGUUCCCAGUGCCGGUGAGGGCUUUGUCUGCAAAGGCAGAGCCUUGUAGACAGUGUAGAAAAAGCGGAUGGGAAUAUGGUCCCAGGGCUGACAAACUGGGAUGGCUGAGUAGGCAGUAGAGGAAAGGGAACAACAGGUCCAGCCACGGGAGACAAGUGUAGAGCUGGAGCGCAGUAACAAGGAGUGACUGAGAUUGUUCCAGCCUUGGGGAAGUGAGAAGGGACUCUAAGGGAGCAGAGGCAGUGGGGCUGACUGGUAAGAGUUAGGAACUUGAGGAAGAAUCAGAGUCUGUAUUUGGGAGAAGGCGUUGAGAGGGGUUACAUGGCAGGGUGGCCU